rnacentral:rRNA from 1 species
GACGAACGCUGGCGGCGUGCUUAACACAUGCAAGUCGAACGGAAAGGCCCUGCUGUUGUGGGGUGCUCGAGUGGCGAACGGGUGAGUAACACGUGAGUAAUCUGCCCUUGACUUUGGGAUAACUUCAGGAAACUGGGGCUAAUACCGGAUAGGAGCUCCUGCUGCAUGGUGGGGGUUGGAAAGGUUCGGCGGUUGGGGAUGGACUCGCGGCUUAUCAGCUUGGUGGUGGGGUAGCGGCUUACCAAGGCUUUGACGGGUAGCCGGCCUGAGAGGGUGACCGGCCACAUUGGAACUGAGAUGCGGCCCAGACUCCUACGGGACGCAGCGGUGGGGAAUAUUGCACAGUGGGCGGAAGCCUGAUGCAACAACGCCGCGUGCGGGAUGAUGGCCUUCGGGUUGUAAACCGCUUUCGCCUGUGACGAAGCGUGAGUGACGGUAAUGGGUAAAGAAGCACCGGCUAACUACGUG